rnacentral:rRNA from 1 species
UACAGAGGGGGGCAAGCGUUAUUCGGAAUUAUUGGGCGUAAAGGGUGCGUAGGCGGCGCGGUAAGUCGGGUGUGAAAUCUCGGGGCUUAACUCCGAAACUGCAUUCGAUACUGCCGUGCUUGAGGACUGGAGAGGAGACUGGAAUUUACGGUGUAGCGGUGAAAUGCGUAGAUAUCGUAAGGAAGACCAGUGGCGAAGGCGGGUCUCUGGACAGUUCCUGACGCUGAGGCACGAAGGCCAGGGGAGCAAACGGG